CCUACGGGAGGCAGCAGUCGGGAAUAUUGCGCAAUGGAGGGAACUCUGACGCAGUGACGCCGCGUAUAGGAAGAAGGUUUUCGGAUUGUAAACUAUUGUCGUUAGGGAAGAAAAAAGACAGUACCUAAGGAGGAAGCUCCGGCUAACUACGUGCCAGCAGCCGCGGUAAUACGUAGGGAGCAAGCGUUAUCCGGAUUUAUUGGGUGUAAAGGGUGCGUAGACGGGAAUUUAAGUUAGUUGUGAAAUCCCUCGGCUCAACUGAGGAACUGCAACUAAAACUGAAUUUCUUGAGUGCAGGAGAGGUAAGUGGAAUUCCUAGUGUAGCGGUGAAAUGCGUAGAUAUUAGGAGGAACACCAGUGGCGAAGGCGGCUUACUGGACUGUAACUGACGUUGAGGCACGAAAGUGUGGGGAGCAAACAGGAUUAGAUACCCGUGUAGU
rnacentral:rRNA from 1 species